rnacentral:tRNA from 1 species
GUCAAAAUGGCCGAGUUGGUAAAAGCGCUAGUUUCAGAUGGUAGUCUGAAAUGGCAUGGGUUCGAAUCCCAUUCUUGACA